rnacentral:rRNA from 1 species
UCAAAUUAUUAAGUGCAAAUGGCGAAUGCCUUGGCACCAGAUGCCGAUGAAGGACGUAGGAGGCUGCGAUAAGCCUCGGGGAGCUGUCAACCGAGCUGUGAUCCGAGGAUUUCCGAAUGGGGAAACCCAACUGGAGUUAUGUCCAGUUAUUUCUGCCUGAAUAUAUAGGGCAGAUAAAGGGAACGGGGGGAAGUGAAACAUCUCAGUACCCCCAGGAAGAGAAAACAACCGUGAUUCCGUUAGUAGUGGCGAGCGAAAGCGGAAGAGGCCAAACCUAAAACGUGUCAAGCCGGCAGGCGUUGCGUUUUGGGUGUUGAGGGACCAGUUCGAUCACUCUGCCGAGUGGUCAAAGAGUCAGAAAUUAGCUAAGUAGAUGAAUGGCGUGGGAAAGCCAAUCACAGAGGGUGAGAAUCCCGUAGUCGAAACUUAGUUAACUCUUUACUGUUAUCCCAAGUAAUACCGAACUCGAGGAAUUCGGUAUGAAUCUGGCGGGACCACCCGCUAAGCCUAAAUACUCUCUGAUGACCGAUAGCGGACUAGUACCGUGAGGGAAAGGUGAAAAGAACCCCGCAAGGGGAGUGAAAUAGAAUCUGAAACCGUGUGCAUACAAGCCGUUGGAGCGACGUAAGUUGUGACAGCGUGCCUUUUGAAGAAUGAGUCUACGAGUUAGUGUCGUGUAGCAAGGUUAACCCGUCGAGGGGAAGCCGUAGCGAAAGCGAGUCUGAAUAGGGCGCUUGAGUUGCACGAUCUAGACCCGAAGCGAGGUGAUCUACGCAUGGCCAGGUUGAAGCGCGGGUAAGACCGCGUGGAGGACCGAACCCACUAAUGUUGAAAAAUUAGGGGAUGAGCUGUGUGUAGGGGUGAAAGGCCAAUCAAACUUCGUGAUAGCUGGUUCUCUCCGAAAUGCAUUUAGGUGCAGCGUUGCGUGUUUCUUACCGGAGGUAGAGCUACUGGAUGGUCGAGGGGUCCUACAAGAUUACCAACAUCAGCCAAACUCCGAAUGCCGGUAAGUGAGAGCGCAGCAGUGAGACUGUGGGGGAUAAGCUUCAUGGUCGAGAGGGAAACAACCCAGAAUAGCAACUAAGGUCCCAAAGCCUGUGCUAAGUGGAAAAGGAUGUGAAGUCGCAUAGACAACCAGGAGGUUGGCUUAGAAGCAGCCACCCUUAAAAGAGUGCGUAAUAGCUCACUGGUCAAGUGAUUUCGCGCCGACAAUGUAACGGGGCUCAAGCACAGCACCGAAGUUCUAUCAUUCAAGCACUACCCCGAUCGCAAGAUCCAGGGGCUUGGAUGGGUAGGAGAGCGUCGUGUGGCUGGUGAAGCGGCGGAGGAAUCCAGCCGUGGAAGCCACACGAGUGAGAAUGUAGACAUGAGUAGCGAGAGAUGGGUGAGAAACCCAUCCGCCGAAAGACCAAGGGUUCCUGGGCCAGGCUAAUCCGCCCAGGGUAAGUCGGGAACUAAGACGAGGCCGUCAGGCGUAGUCGAUGGACAACGGGUUGAUAUUCCCGUACCCGCGUAAGUUCGCCCAUGACGAACCUUCUAAUGCUAAGUUUUCGAAGCUGUAUUGGCGUAAGUCGAUAUGGUGGAGGGAACGACCCGGUGAAGUAGUAGUUAAGCAAUGGUGUGACACAGGAAGGUAGUCCAACCCGGGCGAUGGUUGUCCCGGGGUAAGUGUGUAGGGAGUUACGUAGGCAAAUCCGCGUAACGUUUAACUGAGACACGAUGCCGAGCCGAAUGGCGAAGUGGAUGAUCCUAUGCUGUCAAGAAAAGCAUCUAGCGAGAACUUAAGUGGCCCGUACCGCAAACCGACACAGGUGGGUGGGUGUAAAUGCACCAAGGCGCGCGAGAGAGACCUCUCUAAGGAACUCGGCACAUUAGCCCCGUAACUUCGGGAAAAGGGGUGCUCGCUUCGGCGAGCCACAGUAAAUUGCGUUUAGCGACUGUUUAACAAAAACACAGCACUCUGCCACGUCGUUAAGACAACGUAUAGGGUGUGACAAGUGACCAAUGCGGAAAGAUCAAGGCAAGUUGUUAGCCGCAAGGCGAAGCUCCGAACCUAAGUCCCCGUGAAUGUCGGCCGUAACUAUAACGGUCCUAAGGUAGCGAAAUUCCUUGUCGGGUAAGUUCCGACCUGCACGAAUCUUGUAACGACUUCCCAGCUGUCUCAACCGCGAACUCGGCUCGUAUCGUGACUGGGAAACAGAUCGGAAGAGCACACGUCUGAACUCCAGUCACCGGCUAUGAUCUCGUAUGCCGUCUUCUGCUUGAAAAAAAAAACAAAAA